UGCUAAUGUAAUUCAUUAAUAAUGAUAAUUUUCAUUGGACAUUGACAAAUAUUUUGAAGGGUGAGAUUCCACCUUCUACCAGUCCAGAAUUAAGGAAAGCCAUGUAUGUAAUUUCUCAAAAAAAAAUCUCAUUUUGUGCCUCAAAAUCUUCUUUUUGUCAAAUUAUAUUUGAAUUGUUCUGAAUUGUAUCAGAAGAAUAAUACGUCUAGUGUUUAUGUUUGACCACUGGAGCAUACCUAUGACGUCACAUUGUUUAUAUGCCAAAGACGAUGUAAGUUUCACUUACUUUUUAUACGACCGCAAACAAAUUUUGUGGUCGUAUAUUGGUAUGACGUUGUCGUCGUCGUCCGAAGACACAUUGGUUAUCGCACGAUAACUUUAGUUUAAGUGAAUGAAUCUCUAUGAAAUUUUACCAUAAGGUUCAAUACCACAAAAGGAAGGUUGGGAUUGAUUUUGGGGGUUAUGGUACCAACAGUUAAGGAAUAAGGGGCCAAAAAUAAGCAUUUUUGUAACUUCCAGACAUAACUUGUGUGUAAGUGUAUGGAUAUCUCUGACAUUGUACCACAAGGUUCCAUAUCACAAAGGGAAGGCUGUAAUUGAUUUUGGGGGUAAUUGCCUCAAAAUUUAAGGAAUUAGGGGCCAAAAAAGGGGCAAAAAACAAGCAUUUUUCUAGUUUCAUGACAAUAACUUGUGUGUAAGUGUUUGGAUAUUUCUGAAAUUGUACUACAAGGUUCCAUAUCACAAAGGGAAAGCUGGAAUUGAGUUUGGGGGUAAUUGCCCGAAACGUUUAGGAAUUGGGGGCCAAAAAGGGGCCAAAAAUAAGCAUUUUUCUAGUUUCCAGACAAUAACUUGUGUUCAAGUGUAUGGAUCUCUCUGAAAUUGUACUGCAAGGUACCAUACCACAAAGGGAAGGCUGGGAUUGAGUUUGGGGGUGAUGAAUCAUAAGGGGUUCAAAAAAUUUGGGGGGGGGAUUUUUU